GCAUGUUGGUGCCAUGGAGGGCGGCUUCGGCUCGGACCUGGGGGGCACGGGCAGCAGGCAGCUGGACCCGGGGCUCAUCAUGGAGCAGGUGAAGGUGCAGAUCGCCGUGGCCAAGGUGCAGGAGCUGCUGCAGAGGAUGACAGACAAGUGUUUCUGCAAGUGUACUGGGAAGCCAGGGGCUGCUGGACAACUCGGAGCAGAAGUGCCUCACCAUGUGCCUGGACCACUACACGGACGCCUGGAACACCGUGUCAUGCGCCUACAACUCGAGGCUGCAGCGGGAGCGCAACAACAUGUGACCCGGGGGGCUGGGGGCCUCCCGGCCUGCCUGGAGUAAUGGAGGGGGCCAAUAAAGGACCAGAGGAGAAAAAAAAAAGUCCCACGGUAUCCUGGUGGUGCUGGUCUUUGGGGAGCCCAGGAAGAACUGUCUGAAGACGCUGCAGGAAGAAGGUAACACAGGA